GUUCAGUUUUUUUUAUACACCCUGUAUAUAUGCUUCCAUCUCGUCCCAGCAAACAGGGAUCAGUCUCUAAGAUAAGAGCUUUCUGUCUGAUGCAGGUUGCAAGUUAAGAAUGUAGAAGGUCAAAACCGUCGUGUCAGCGUUGUAUAUAAAAUUGUGUGUCAACUAUAAUGCACCAUGCGAUGCAAACGAUUAACAGAACUGCAAACAUCGAUCCUCAUGACAGCCAUCAUGAUUUCGUUGAUGUGAUUUAGUCCUGCGGUAUGGUUACUUUUAAACUGUUCUGUAAUUGAUGAUAUUUGGAGUUUUCCAACCAAUGUUUAGCUGUUUGCCUACAAUUCAGUUUGAAGUUUGCAUAUCUUUAUGAAGGCCGUUUUCCACUUCCUCGGAACCAAUGACUUCGAUACAAGCAAAAAGGCUGGGUCAUCAUCGUGGUUGGUUGAUUAUAACAAUGAAAGACAAUAAAACUAUAGAAAUCGUCUUUCUAAAGAAC